GAGGGUGUAACUCAGUGGUAGAGCGCCUGCUUAGCAUGCACGAGGUCCUGGGUUCAAUCCCUAUUACCUCCA
rnacentral:tRNA from 1 species